rnacentral:lncRNA from 1 species
AUGGUUCUUCUCUUUUUUGGAGCCACACUAAAGAAUCGAGUGAGACGUUGGAUUAACGUAUUAACAAAUAAUUCUGUCACUAUUGACUGCAAUUGGAAGGUUCUCUAUUCUUGUACAGGAUCUAUCAUUGAGACUUAUGCAAUAAGAAGAGAUUUCGUAGUACCAAAAAAGAUGUCUGCUUUCACACUAUCGGCUCCGAUACAGUUGUGUGGAUUGGAAGUUUACAGAACUACAGACCCGCAGGUAUAUAUAAGUAUUAGCACUGGACUCGCCAUACCCGAGGCAGACAAUCAAUUUCAAGGAUCGCCGUACACAGACACACUCUUACGGGCUGGGCUAGCUGGUCAGGAAUUCUUUACGAAACAAGCACUAGGAGCGACCGCUCAAACAAUUUUGCAGAAUCAGUGUCUUCUUGAGCAGAUGAUUAGGACAUCCAUAGUCCAGACAGCCAAGCGGCACCCUGAACUGGCUGCUCUUGCAAUUACUGGGUCACCUGGAUGGAUCUUAUACCCUGCAGGACAAGGAGUGCGACUCAAGGUAUGCCAAGAGUUCGCAGUGGCAAUUGUGGAACAACCCCUACGCCACGCAGAUAUUCCGGUUCAUAUAAAAAAUUCAACUAAGACCAUGUAUGUGGAUGCCCUCACCAGGACACUAAUUCCCUCGAGUUAUGAGAUCUCCUGCUCAGAUCCCACUUUGCCGUUAGUCAAGAUCCGCUCGACAUAUUCCACUCUAUCUCCUCAUCUGACUCCGAUGCCCGGAAUCUCACCUUUUCAAAGUAGAUUACUAGGCGUAGAUAAAGGAUGGAUGAAACCAUCUGACCGUCUUUACUCUGAUGAAAUUAUAUUCUCUUCGAAUCGGCCAGCAGACCAUAUGUCACGUAGAUCGGAAGUUGAGAGACAACUGAUCAAAAUAGGAGAUGGCUCUUUCAAGAUAAGGCAAGAUUCUAUAGGCGUUUUGCCUAUAGGAGUUAACCAUGUAAUGGACAAGCUUCACUAUCAUUGGUUAAUAAUCACUUUGUUAGUUGCAACAGGACUGAUCAUGAACUUGUGCCUCUGGCGGAUUGUAAUCAAAUUAGGUUUUUGGCGGGCAGUUGGGAAGGACUAUGACUUCACGGAAUCACAGGCACGUUCGUUAGGGUCCAGCACUCCAGCCCUACUCAGAACAUGUGAUACCAGUUGA